AUUGAACGCUGGCGGAAGGCCUAACACAUGCAAGUCGAACGAGUGGCGGACGGGUGAGUAAUGUCAGGGAAAAUGCCUGCUGGCGGGGGAUAACUACUGGAAACGGUAGCUAAUACCGCCAACCAUCCGAUGUGACCAGAUGGGAUUAGCUUGUUGGUGGGGUAACGGCUCACCAAGGCGACGAUCCCUAGCUGGUUUGAGAGGAUAACCAGCCACACUGGAACGGAGCCACGGUCCAGACUCCUACGGUAGGCAGCAGUGGGGAAUAUUGCACAAUGGGCGCGAGCCUUAUGCAGCCAUGCCGCGGGUAUGAAGAAGGCCUUCGGGUUGUAAAGUACUUGCAGCGGGGAGGCGUUACCCGCAGAAGAGGCACCGGCUAACUCCGUGCCAGCAGCCGCGGUAAUUC
rnacentral:rRNA from 1 species